UGGGGAAUCUUCCGCAAUGGACGGAAGUCUGACGGAGCAACGCCGCGUGAGUGAUGACGGCCCUCGGGUUGUAAACCACUUUUGUAGAGAACGAAAAGACACCUUUUAAUAAAGGGUGUUGCUGACGGUACUCUAAGAAUAAGCACCGGCUAACUACGUGCC
rnacentral:rRNA from 1 species